rnacentral:rRNA from 1 species
UAUCUCUGUAGAGUCUGCAUAUCAAUAAGCGGAGGAAAAGAAACUAACUAGGAUUCCCUCAGUAACGGCGAGUGAAGCGGGAAGAGCUCAAAUUUGAAAUCUUCAAGGUUCUACCUUGACGAAUUGUAGUUUAAAGAAGUGUUUUCUGUUGGAGUUUUGGUAAAAGUUCUUUGGAAUAGGACAUCAUAGAGGGUGAGAAUCCCGUAUUUGACCAUUAUUUCCAGCUUCGUGAUACACUUUCAAAGAGUCGGAUUGUUUGGGAAUGCAGUCCAAAAUGGGUGGUAAAUUUCAUCUAAAGCUAAAUACUGGCGAGAGACCGAUAGCGAACAAGUACCGUGAGGGAAAGAUGAAAAGAACUUUGAGAAGAGAGUUAAACAGUACGUGAAAUUGUCAAAAGGGAAGCGUUUGACACCAGUGUUGUUUUCUCGAAAAUCAAUUAAAAAUGGCUUGAUUUUGUGUUGUAUUGACCUUAAAAGCUUUCUUCACUUUUUUCAUGUCUUUUUUAAUGCACUUUUCGUUUAACAAGUCAACAUCAGUUUCUUUUGUUGUAAAAAGGUCAUUGGAAGGUGGCUUUCUUUUCGGAGAAAGUGUUUCAUAGCCUUUGGCCUCUGCAAUCGGAGAGAUUGAGGUCUGCAGCGUAGAUCCUUCGGGGUUAGAUACAUUUGUGCUAAGUUAUAGCCUUUCAUAGACAACUUGUUGACUAUGAUCAGUCAUGUAGCUUACUCGCUUAUGCUAUUUUACCUACGCUUAGGAUGUUGAAGAUGUAGCACAUCAU